rnacentral:rRNA from 3 species
GAGUAAUGUCUGGGAAACUGCCUGAUGGAGGGGGAUAACUACUGGAAACGGUGGCUAAUACCGCAUAACGUCGCAAGACCAAAGAGGGGGACCUUCGGGCCUCUUGCCAUCAGAUGUGCCCAGAUGGGAUUAGCUUGUUGGUGAGGUAACGGCUCACCAAGGCGACGAUCCCUAGCUGGUCUGAGAGGAUGACCAGCCACACUGGAACUGAGACACGGUCCAGACUCCUACGGGAGGCAGCAGUGGGGAAUAUUGCACAAUGGGCGCAAGCCUGAUGCAGCCAUGCCGCGUGUAUGAAGAAGGCCUUCGGGUUGUAAAGUACUUUCAGCGGGGA